AAAAUCUCCGGUAUCAACCGUGAAACAUCGACUAUUUCUGGAAUCCUUCGUAAAAAGCGGUGAUAGAGUAAAAAACUUACCCGUCGACAUAAUGCCUAUCGUUUUGCUUGGAUUCCCACUAUCGAGACCUUAUUCCUGUUGUAAACGCUUUGAGUAAAAUGAUGCAACGCUUUGAGAAAAAUGAUGCCCAGGUCCGGCUGUGUCCAAUGUUGCUUGCCAAGGUUCUAAACAUGCGUUCAGGGCGAUGCUGAUCUUCUAAAAUGUUAAACCGGCUGAUCCCUGGUGUCGUUUAAGGGCCUCCAUCCAGCAAUCAUUCUAAUGGUGGAUUCAGGGCACCCGUUAUGACCAAGGACCUGGGUCUUGCUCAAAAUGCAGUGAUGGCAGUGAAGUGACCGACACCACAUGGGUCUCUUUCUCAUCAGAUUUACCGCAUCAUGACUAAUCACGGGUUUGGUGGAAAAGACUUCUCGUCUGCUUUUAAAUUAUUGCUCGAUUAGAACAAGCAAAAAAUGAUAAAUAACAUCAUUAUGUACUAUUAUUAUUUCCUAAAUGUAAAUACUAAAUAUCAUGUAAAUACACGAAUGAACGUUUAUUAGAAAACUAUUGUUAAUGAUUUAAGAAAUUUUAAAAAUGAUUUCAAAAUGAUUUUAUUAUAGAUUAUACAAGUUAUUUUACACUUGAGGUACCGGGUAACGGGUAAAACAAAAACAACCUUUUCUUUGAUAUAACUUAAAAUAUAAUUGUUGAUUUUUACCUGGUGAAAUAUAUUUUUUGGGUAUAAAAAGCUUUUGUUCAGCCAGAAAUGUCUUAGAUAAAAUAAUAUUUUUAUGUAAUUUUCACACUGUAUAAAGGGUGUUUCAGCAGAUAACCAGACAUCAAACUGCGUGUCACCGGUUGUUACAUCAGUAUGAGUUUGUGUUUAUUUUGUAUGUACCAAUAUAUUUUGAAGGAGUCGAAGAGGUACUGUAAUUUUCUAUCUUGAUGACCAAAACACGUGCAUUUUAAGAAAGAGCUUUAUGACAGUGCCACUUCAAAAGUCUACAUUUCGUUUCCAUGAUAGGUUGUGUUUUGAAAUAGCAUUUAAAAUACUUGUACCUUUUAAAAGAUGCAAAUGGGAAUGUUGUUUAUGGUAGUUGUUGAUUUGAAUAUGAAUUGCUAUGAAUAGAAUAGUGAGAACUGUAUGUGCUUCUUUAGCAUGGUAUUGUUUAUAAUAAAUACCAGUUUAAUUUAUCAUUUAGUGUGUAUGGCCUUUUAAAGUUUACAUAAAAUGCCAAUUGUUUUAUUCUUUUGGAAAGAUGAUUGCAUCUUGUUGUAAAUAAUGAAUAAAUCUUUUUUAUUUGAACAAUUAUGAGAUUUUCAAUAAAUUGCAAACCAAUA